rnacentral:rRNA from 1 species
CAGUCGCCGCGGUAACACAGAGGGUGCGAGCGUUAAUCGGAUUUACUGGGCGUAAAGCGUGCGUAGGCGGCUUCUUAAGUCGGAUGUGAAAUCCCUGAGCUUAACUUAGGAAUUGCAUUCGAUACUGGGAAGCUAGAGUAUGUGAGAGGAUGGUAGAAUUCCAGGUGUAGCGGUGAAAUGCGUAGAGAUCUGGAGGAAUACCGAUGGCGAAGGCAGCCAUCUGGCCUAAUACUGACGCUGAGGUACGAAAGCAUGGGGAGCAAACAGGAUUAGAUACCCCAGUAGUCCCUGUCUCUUAUAC